rnacentral:rRNA from 1 species
UACGUAGGUGGCGAGCGUUGUCCGGAAUUACUGGGUGUAAAGGGCGUGUAGGCGGGAUUGCAAGUCAGAUGUGAAAUUCCAGGGCUUAACUCUGGAGCUGCAUCUGAAACUGUAAUUCUUGAGUGAUGGAGAGGAAAGUGGUAUUCCUAGUGUAGCGGUGAAAUGCGUAGAUAUUAGGAGGAACACCAGUGGCGAAGGCGACUUUCUGGACAUUAACUGACGCUGAGGCGCGAAAGCGUGGGGAGCAAACAGG